UGUGGGAGCGGGCUUGCUCGCGAUGGCGGUUCGCCUGACACACCGCUAUCGCGAGCAAGCCCGCUCCCACA
rnacentral:misc_RNA from 1 species